rnacentral:rRNA from 1 species
UACGUAGGGCGCAAGCGUUGUCCGGAAUUAUUGGGCGUAAAGAGCUCGUAGGCGGUUUGUCACGUCGGGUGUGAAAGCCCGGGGGCUUAACCCCGGGUCUGCAUUCGAUACGGGCAGACUAGAGUGUGGUAGGGGAGAUCGGAAUUCCUGGUGUAGCGGUGAAAUGCGCAGAUAUCAGGAGGAACACCGGUGGCGAAGGCGGAUCUCUGGGCCAUUACUGACGCUGAGGAGCGAAAGCGUGGGGAGCAAACAGG